rnacentral:piRNA from 2 species
UUGGAAUUGGAGACACACUAGGAAUGGGACC